UCUCUCUAUCGUGUAAUACGUGGUAUUGAUUGUUCCGCCUGAAUGCUAUAACCCCUUCCACCGAGCCGCGCCUCGAAAAUUAGCUUGGUCUUCGGACGGGACGAUUUGGAGAGGAGCCCCGUCUGCGAAGGUCAUCCUUUCAAUAAUUUUUGAAGGAGUAAUAAAGUAAUCGAAGACGAAACGGAGGCGAAAGCAGUUCCAAUAGUCUUGAAUUGUUGCGAAGGAGCAGAAUCGACUGCUAUCUGAAUAGAAAUUACUUCUAGAGAAGACACGAGAAUUUCAACUACACUCAACUUGAUAAUUAAACUUUCGACACCAGAAGUGAAACAUAUUUUCAUUGCACUUCCUGUUCUUUCGCACAUCCGACGAUACCUCCCAAAAGAAUAGUAUAGAUGGCCGAACUUCAAUAAGAAACGAAAACAUUUUCCUCCUUAAUCGUAUAUGAUAAUGGUCAAUCAAUCAUUGCUGUGUUUAUCGAAUGAUUUUAUGAUGGCGACGGGACUAUUUCUAUUUAUGAGAGGGUCAUUAGGUCUCUUAACUUUAGCUAUCCUUAAUGUAUUAUAUUAGUGCAUAUAAAUCUAGAAUCCACUUAUUUUUCAACUACUGUAAUGAAGAACAUUAAAUGUGGGAAGCAAGAUGCUGGAUGAAGGAGAGCAGAUCGUAAAUGCGGCGGAGGAAGCUGAUGCUGCUCACGAAUUUAUUACGAAUCUUUCAAAUGAUGUGGAAACCAAGUUGAUGAGAGACGAACCUAAUUAUCUUGUGUAUGGAAGCUACAUGCUGCUAUUGCUAGAGCAUUACUAUAGAAACCAUCGACUUGGAUAUUGAAUUUUGAUACACAAGGGCAUCAUAAAAGCAGAAGAGUUUCUCAAGAAGCAGUUGGAAGAUCUAACCAAAGAAGGAACAUCGUGCUUUUGCACUUGUGUACAAAUGGAAUACCUAGGAGAAGGAAAAAGAAGAAAAAACAUUUGUUUUUUUCCGAAGAAGUUUUGAAAGACCAACAUGGAACUGUUUUAUAAAGUUUGGAACGGUGGUACGUGGAAAUGGGAGGGAUUUGGCUUUUUCAAAAGAACCACUCGUGAGCGGCUUUAGCUGGAGGGUAUAUGCGAUUGUGCUCAGAAGGAUUUGUAGAGGGUUCGUCAGAAGUUCCAAGAGGGGCAAGGGUCAAAGGGGAAUUAAAAUGAAACUGAGGGAGGUAUACAAAACAAUUUAACAUGCAGGGACGAUGAGAAGGUUCAUCUUUUUUGAAAGUAAUAACGUUAAUAGGGGAAUACUUUUAAGCUAUAUGGGAAAUGGAAAGUCCAUUUCACGUCAUCGUUAUUCCAUCGAUUUAAAUUGAGUAAUCGUUGGAUAUAAUUCAGAAAGGAGAAAUGCUGAAUUGGUUGUCGUAAUAUUCACGACAUCUAGUUGAAAAAUAUUCGUAAUAUUUAAUUGGCGAUUUUCAUGAUUAUUGAAAUUCGCACGAAGUGAUUUGGUGCGUAGCGCGAAUUAUCUGCUAUUAAUUCCUACUCCUGUACUUAUUUAGCCAAGUACUUUCGUUUUAACCCCACCGUUAUUCUCUCUCUCUGCGUGUGCUCUGGUGCGCGCCUAUCUGCGCCAGUUCGAGGGGUCGGGAUUGAGUGCGCGGUCUUAUGUGCGUGUAUGCAUACAACUCCUGUCUUCUCUUGAUAAUAAAGAAAAUAUGUUUUCAUUUGUAUUCCUAUCAUCAGGUGAAGCAGAUAAUUGGAGAUUAGCUCUAUAGUUCAAUUGUCUAUUUAGAUUCAUUGUUUGAUAACUAUUACUUAUUUUGCAGAGCAUUGGACUAUUUUUUUAGGAACCAAUUGAUUUGGAACAUAUUAUAUGAAAUAUUCGAUAACUGGAGGUAUAAUGGGAUUAUUGUUUUGCAUUCUCCAAUAGGGAGUAAAUUUCUAGGAAAAUGUAACCGUUCAUAGAGAAGAGUCAAAUCAGUCGUGGUAGAUGGAUCUGCAAAAGAAUUAACCAGGUAAUUAAAUGAUACAGCUAAAUGGAUAAUUGAAUUAUACCGCUAAUAGUAUUAUCGAAUUCUCUGGCUGGUUUGAUGAGAUGAAAAACUAAUGAAAAGAUACCUUUCUUAUUUUGAAAAUAUGAGAGGAGAAGUACGCAGACACGCCCACUUGAACUCGCUCACGUAAAUGCGCACGUUCACGAGGAGAGGUAAUUACUCGUUUAAUAUGAUGGUGCUGGACGAUAGGUAGGAGAAAAGGCGUACGUGCAGAUCGUUAAGUCCCGAUCAAUACCCGGUAUUAGAGGAAUUUGUAGACAUGGGGGAUCAUAUGUUUUUGCAAAAGAAUCAUAAUUUUGUUCAUUAUAAUUUUCUACGAUGUCUAUGAUAAAUGUUGAAUCAAUUCUCUUUCCACAUUAUCAUCCCUCGCAUUAUGUACGAGAUCUCUCCGUUUUUUUGUUGGACGUAAUCACUAUCACUCUUAUCGUUUUCUUACCCGAAUAAUAUUUAUUUUUUCUAACGUAUCUGUAUAAAUGUCUCUCUGGAAUUCCUCUUUGGUAUUACUUAUGACACGAAACUCACUAUUGUUUGGAUAUUUUGCCAUUCUCUUAAUGAAAAAAAAGUAAGUAAUUGAAAGCGCUGCUAGUCUCAAAUUGUAUCUUACGAAAUCGCGAAACGAUAUAUACCAAAAGAAUAUUACGUUUCUGAUUUUCUGACUUAUUAGUCUUGGGAACUAUCUAUUUCACUAAAAGUUUCAAUACGAAGCGAGUUCAGCUUCGAAAAUAUCUCCUCAGUUUUAUGAUUACUUGUUUACUCCAUCAAAUAUCACUGCAUCGUACGAGGCGUACUCGUGUACCAUUGCAGACAAGUCCUUAUCACUUCAUUUAAGCGGUUUAGAGAAGUGUUGUUGACCGUUUGAACGUACUUCUUUUCUGUAAGACCGACUCAUAUUCUUUUCAUAGAACUUGGUAAUUUGAACAUUUGCAGUAGUUGAAGACAACUGCAUAGCAAAUAUUGUAACACAUGUCCGUCGCCUUUUAUUUCACUUUAUGCAAACUUUUAUAUUUCCUCCGUCGACUCGAUAUUGUGAAACAAUGACUACGUGACAAGGAACAAUUAUCACGAUUAUCCACGAAAAAUAUACUCGUUUAUAUAGAAGUAUGUAAUCAGUCGUGGUACAUCGUUCUGCAGGAGACUUGAACGGGUAAUUAAAUGCUAUACAUAAAUAGAUAAUUGAAUUAUACUGCUAAUCGUGUUAUCGAUUUGUCUGCAUGGUUUGAUAAGAGGGAAACUAAUGAAAAAUUACCUGUUUUGUUUUCGAAAUAAAGCAGAGGAACGCAGACACGUCCACUCAUCCCCGCCCACUUGAACUGGCGCACGUAAUCCCGCUGGUGUAUGGAGGGUUGUAAUAAUAAAUCGAUCAAUAUAACGGUCCUUGACUAUAUGUAUGAGAGUAGGUAUUACCUACAUGCAGGUCGUUAAAUACCGAUCAAUACCCGUUAACAAGAGAAUUCGCUCUACCUAGCAAAUUAUUUCGUUUAAAUUCCUAUAUCAUCGAAAAACGUAUAUUAAAUAUUAUGAAUAUUUUUGAAGACCGUGUGAUUAUUUUGGCAAACAGUUUGGAACAACAUGGAACUCAACAUUUCUUCUGUUUUUAAUUAUAGUGAAUGAUUAUUUAAAUUGAGCGAACAAUAAUGACAGAGUGAUCUAAACGUGGAUUUCAUAUUUCAUGUAUAGUUUAAAUCUAUUCUGAUUUUAAAGUAUUUCGGAUAUAUUUUUAGUAUUUGAUACUAUUAUAUCAUAUACAAACGGUGAAUGUUUUAAUCGUCGCAGCAGCUUUAAUUCUUUUCCAAUAUAAACCUCCCUCCGUUCCAUUUCGAUUCUCCUUUGAACAAGGUCCCGCUUGCAACAUCGGACGGCCCUUCGACAAAUCUUUCUGAACACAAUCGAUUGUAUCCUCUAGCUAAAACCCACUUCGAUCCUUUGAGAACGGGAUUUUCCGUCUCUUCAUAUUACCAUUCGAAUGAAACAUUCGAAAACAGCGCCAUAUUAAUCUCGUGAUUGCUCGUUGUCACUGGCACUAUAAAUUUUUUCGUCUUCUUUCUGCUUUAUUUCAGUCACAUAAUGAACAGGAUAUGGAUCUUUACGGAUAAAUUAAAGACAAGAACGACUUUUCGAAACGGAACAUUUGGCCUUUAAAUCUAACACGUUGCUUUACAGUCUCUCCGGGAAGCAUUAAAAAGUUCGGGAGAAGUUGAUAAUCUUAGAUAGUACGAUAUUGAGUGAUUAGAAAAGAAAUAAGUAAGUAAACGGGUUGAAGGCUCAAAUUGUAUAUUUCGACAUCACGAAACAGUAUACACCAAAAUAAUAUAACACUUUUGAUUUUCUCACUUAUUAUUUCUGGGAUUUUUCUGAAAAUAUAAUAUCAGUAAACAAAGAAAUAUGACGGACGAUUUUCUCCGUCUUCGCAUACGACAGAAGAUUCUAGAAUAGGCAUUACAUAGUAUGAAAAUUGUAAUAUCAUUAAUAUCUAAUAAUAUUAGAACACUAUUUUUAAGUAUAACUUGAACUUACUAAAGAAAAAACAUUACAAAUUUGAUUAAUUUUGAUAAUUUUGAUAAAUUUGAUAAAUUAUGAGUAAUAUCAUAGAAAUUAAUGUUCAUAAUUACAAUAAUUAUAACUAUUGUAAUUAUUUUUACAAAAAAUUUUCAUAAUAAUUAAUUAUAUUAUAAUUAAAGAAUAUGCGGUUAUUUAGCUGUAAUUAAUAUACCCAAUAUAUAAUUAUUUACAUAAUUUAAAUUAAAAAAAAAUAGUGUUUUACAUGUUUAUUUGAAUUAAGAAUGGGAAGAAUUAUGGUCAAUUUCAUUAGAAGGUUACAAGAUUUGAAAUAAUUUUUCACGUACAUAGAGGACAUGAGUAUAUAACUACAUAACUACAGGAGAGGGGAAAUUUGUCAUCCCCUAGCUAGGAAGCAUGGUUAUAUAAGGGGACGACAUGAUAUUAAUUUCGCCAGGGAACGUCAUUCCUUCGGUGGUUUUCGAACCAGUAAUACGCAAGUGAGUGCCACACGGGAAAUAGUCGCCAGUGCAUAUACCUCAUAAGUCCGAAAGAAUACUUUUAUAAGCAAUUAAAACGGGAGAAACAAUUUCAUCGUUCUCACACGACAUCUUCGGUAUUUAGCUAACAGUGUUCUUUCUUCGCGUUCGUUUUCUUCGUUCUCGAAUUCCUUCUUGAAUCACUCUUCCGCUUUCACAAUCCAAUGCGCUAUAUUAUAAAAGAUAAAAUUCAUGUAGAAAAUUGUAUAAGAUAUGUGACAAAUUACUUAUAUCUGAUCUUUUCAUACCUCGUUUAUUAAAAUCCAAUAUUCAAGUUGAUCGUUGCUAUAGUAUUGCGUUAGCAUUGGCGUCACGGUGUUUCCAUACCCCGGAUAAUUAGAUGCUUUUCUCGCCAAUUUGGUGUAUAUCAUAUGGAUUAUUUGAAAUGGAUUCAUUUUGAAAUGGAAAUACUUUCGUCGACUUCAUAAAAUCUAUGUAAAAGUUCAAUAAAUUAUUGUAAAAUAUACUUAUGAUAGAGAUUAAAUAUUUCAAAUUACAUUUCAGAAUAAAAAAUUUAUAUCUUAUCUCUAAAACAUCUUACCUUUCGGUAAACAGAGCACUUGUACUAUCGAUGUAGAACUCAUGUUCGGAAGAGCAGGAAAUACCGAUGUAAAUAUGUUUCACUUGGGAUGUGGAAUAUUUCAUUACGACGUUGAGCGUAGUUGAAUUUCGUGUAUCUUCUUUGGAAUUAAAUUCAAAUGUAAGUCCAUUGGACUCCUUUGCAAUACUUCGACUAUUGGAACUGCACCUUCGUUUUCUCUAUUCUAUCUAUAUAAUAAUUUAAAAUUCCUAGGUUAGUAAAGACUCACGAUAGGCAUUGAACUGCUCAUCCAAUUGUGUAGGUAACAAAGAUAAACCUAAUUACGCGCCUUUAAGAAAUAUAAAAUACCUUCACCGAAAAGCAACAAAUAAUUAUAAUGUUGGUAUUGAUCACGACAAUCAGUUUCAUUUCGAUAAAAUAUAAUUGAAAUUUUAUAAUAAAUCACAUAUUAAUGACCACUGAUAAAUUUACCUUAUAUUGAUAACAUAAACAAAAGACUAGUGAGAACGAAGAAAUUGUUUCCACCGCCUGAACCGCUUGUAAAACUACCCUCUGGAACGUAUAAAGUAUACGCAAGACGAAUAUUUAUUGUACGACACUUGCUCACAUAUUAUCAGUUCGACCACCACCGAAGGAAUGACGUAAAGCUUUAUCGGCCUGCUCUGAUAGACGGUAUUUUUCCCCCGCUCUUCGCUAUCGUUCGUUAGCAUAGCGUCAAAGAAUACGCCCUCUGCAAAGGGUUAUUACGCUUUAAAUCGAUUAAUCAAUAUCUCCUGUUAUAUGUUCGAAAGAAAAUAAAAGGUCAUAAACUGUGAGGAAAUGAAUUUCUCUAUUGAUGUCUAUUAACUAGGACGUAUCAUUAUCUUUCCUCUUUAUUCCUUCUUUCGUUCCCUUUUCUCCUUACUUUUACUAAUUUAACAAGAAAUUAGAAAUUGAUUAAAGUAUUUUGAAAAUAGGCAAAUAUUUUUCAUCCAGUUCUUGUCGUUGAAAAUAUUCAUCAAUGAGAAUUAAAUUAAUUUUUUCGUUAUAUCAUUCUCUUCUGUUUUACGUAUUUCAUUUCAAUGUGUUUUACGCAAGUCAAUUAAAAUAAUCUAUUCCGCGGCCGACACGGCUGAAACAACCGAAAAGUAUAUGAGUUGGGAGAAAAUGAAUAUCUCGAUAAAUCCCUUUUAAUUCGACAUAUUAUUAUGAUUUCUUUGUAACUGUCAUAUAAAGUAAUCCACAUUGCAUGACCAUUCGAAUAUUGUGACGAUUGCUUCUGCUGCAUUUUUAUUGAUCUGUCCCUACCAUACAUUUAAGAAAUGAAAUUAAUCCUUUUAUUGGUAUUCUCUCAUGAUAAAAAUAUCUUGUGAGUCGUCAUUAUACAUAUUUUUGAUUCCUUUCUGACAAAAUCGGCCAAAUAUUUUGUUUAUGUAAACAAUAUUUUCAUCGAUCAUAAUAAACAUAAGAUCGUGGGUAAAUUGAUCAGUAUGAGAGGUAUCUGUUUUUUCAUUAUGAUCCUUAAAGAUACUACCUUCCGAUGAACAAAUACAUUUGUAAGAAAAUACUUUCGAAGAAGUCUUCGUCGAUCGAAACAGAUUCUUCAUCUGUCAUGGAAUAUCAAGCAUUUAACUUCCGAAGUUGUCGCGUGUUAUCAUCGAAAGCGUUGUGCAUUCACAUUUACAGGGUUUUGUUACAUUUCUUCGAUAGUAACUUCACGCUUUAUAUUAUAGCUCGCAUUUAGAGAAAGGAAGAAAAGAAAACACAUGUCCAUAUAUCUUAUGCGCUAACCCUCAAUUACAUAGUAUCGAUCGGCGGAAUUCUACUAUCUAAAGUUAUCAACGAUUUCCAAAACAUUUUUAAUGCUUUUUAGCGAUACUAGGAAUCAACGUUCUGGGUUUGAGAGGAAAGCGUUUCCUUUUCAAACAUCGUCCUCGUCUUUUCGUGAUGCAUAGUAUUGUGUUCCAUCCCGUCUUCAUUACAUGAUCGAGAUUAACCAGUAUGAGGAGGAGGAAGAAGAUGAAACGUUUAUAUUGGCGGCGACGACGAACCUUGCGAGAUUAAUAUCGGCGCUGUUUUACAAAGCUUUAUUCGAAUGGUGGUACGAGGAGACGGAAUAUAUUUUAUUGAAAGGGUCCAAAGAUAAGCGGCUUUAGCUACGGGACAUAGUCGAGUGUGGUGGGAGAGAUUUAUUGAAGGGCUGUUCGCCGUGGCAAACCGCAUCUGAAUUAAAGUGGAAUUGGAAUGAUACUCAGACAGGUUUAUCCUCGAAAAUGAUUAAAUCUGCUGGUACGAUCAAAAGAAUCUCCGUUAUCCGGGAUAGUAGUGUUAGCCCGGGAACACAUUUAAAUUUUGCGUCAAAUAUUCAGUGCACGUUUACCUCACCGUGUCAUCGUUAUAUCGUCAAUUUAAAUAAUUAAUCAACGUAAUUAAAAAGAGACGAAGCGUUUGGUUCAAUGUUUCUACAUUGUUUGUCGGAAUACUCACGACAUUUGCUUAAAAACAAUAUAUAAUGACCGUUUUUCAGAAAUAUAGAUAUAUGAACGAAUUAAUUUACUGGCUAGCGCAAAUACACUUCGAUUGGGAUUUAAUAAAAAAGCAUGUAUAAAUUACGUUCUUCCAAACGUAUCGUCAAGUACCUUCGUGUGAAACGAUUUCUUAUUACCCCUCCCCAUGGACCUGUGCUCUUGAGUUCGCUCAUGCGCGCUAGUUCAUGUGGGCGGGAUUACGUGUGCGGUUCUAUGGGCGUGCAUGCGUAUGCCUCCUUCCUCAUUUUGAUAAGAAGAAAGGUAUUUUUUCAUUUGUUUUCCUCCCAUUAAACCAAGCAGAGAAUUCGGUAAUAAUAUUAGCAGUGUACUUUAAUUACAUAUUUAGAUGUAUUAUUUCAUUUGUAGAUCGAAGUAUCACGACUAAUUUAGUACUUUCAUAGGAACGAGUACAUUUUCCUACAAAUUUAUUCCAGACUGGACAAUUUCAAAGAAAGAUCAAUCAUACUUCGAGUAGUCAAACAUUUCGCAUAUUACGCUCCAAACUAUUUAGUUUCUCGGAAAAUACUAUCUAUCUCGAUCUUUUUAUUUCUCAUUACGUAUAACCGAGUAUAGAAACGAGUUCGUUAUAUUUCUAGUAAUAUAAUAUGACAAAUUUAUUUAGCAUUUUUCUAAUAUUUACUCGAAUGAUCAUAAGUGUACAUAUAAUAAACAUUUACAUAAUGUGGCCAUUCCCCAAACGUAGUAUAGAUCUAUUAUAUUGUUUUCUUACUAUCGUCGUUCGAUCAAAUGGUCGACAUCGCUCAAAGUAAAAAUAAUAAAUAUUGUAGGAAGAAAGCUCUUCUUUCAGAUACGCUUUUCUUUUAAAUACAAUUUUGGAAGUCUGCUUUUCUUGAUAAUGUCGACGUUCUCUUCACGAAAAUUAUAUAAAUAUGAAUAAAUAUGUACCAAACACAAGAUCCUCCUUGAAAAGUAGAUAAACUAAAUUCGAUGUUUACAAAAUAAACUAAUCAAGAGGAAGAGAUGAGGUAUAGAGAAAGACCGAUAAGCGGAAUCGAAUGGAAAAAAGAAGUAUAUAGCCAAAAAGAAAUUUCCCCUUUGAGAUCGUAUCUAUCCAUUAUUAUGGGUAACAUUGUGAUGAGAUUAUCGCGGAUGACACAAUAUCUCGUUAAUAUAUGCAAAACAGUGAGGACCAGAAUAAAUGGUUCUUGGAGACACAAGAAGAUGGAACUAUAUAUAAGCACCCCCUCAGACACGAUAAUGGACUAUACCGUCUAUACCAUUUUGAACAACAAUCUCUAUAAGAUAAAGCCUAUCUUAAUUUUUUCUAUCUCCAUUUGUCCAUUUCAAUUCAUUAUUCAGCAAGUUGCUUUAAUACAGCCAGUCUUGUAAGACGUAAUUAUUAAUAGAUGGAGAUAAACUAGAGGGGGAAAAACAAUUGUCACUUACAACUUUGUAAGUUCAUUUCAUAUUGUUUAAAGUAAGCUUGGCGAUAAAAUUAUAAAAAAUUUUUCCGUAUAUUUACGCUACGUCCAUGAAUGAAAUUUUCAUUAUUCUUCCCAGACGGCAGACAUGUAUGUAUGUAUGGAUACACACACACAAACACACCAAUUCGUUUAAACAUUUCGAAGAUCGUAACGCGCGAGAAACAUGAAAUAAUUUUAACCUAAAGUUUCAACAAUUUCUAAUUUUAAUCUCAGAGUGGUUGCAUCUGAGUUGCGUCGUAACGUGUAAUGUCAAUAAAAACGAACCCUUGAAUGAAUUUGAGGGUUGCCUUCUCUUUCCACAGAUGAAAACUUCCAACUUAAUACUUUUGAUAAUUUCGAAUUCACUUGAACGAAAUAGAUGUACGAGAAGUUAAAUAAGCAGCUGUUUUAACAAUGGUACGUUCCGUUAAACGCCCCACGGUACACCUACGAAGCAACAAGUAUUUUUAAUUUAUUUUCCGAUAGACUUAAAUUUUGAAAUGGUGGUCGUUCGCUAUCUGUAAAGUCGUAAAAGGAUUGAUUUGGACAGUUGCCGGAUCAGUCAUCCUUCCUACUCCGACGAGUAAACAUCGGAGAUCUGUCGCUGCCGCCUGCAAAAGAUGAAGAAAAUUACGUUCACAUACGUGUAUAUAUGAAAAAUAUUAUUUAAGUUUCUCCAAAACAAUAAGAAUAUAACACGAUCAAAUCAGAAAUUUAAAGCAGAAUUUUUACAAAAUUUAUUAUUAUAAUUAUUGCUCGCCGCUAACGGAGGAAAUGAGGAAUUACUUACAGCAAAUUGCCAGGAAUAAAUGCACGUGGUAGCCAUUGAUGUUCCUCCUUAAUGGUUCCUUGAAUUAUGCGGUCCUCUCUUCUUGAGGUGUAUAUAAGGAAUAUUAACUUCUCGCGAAGUGUGUGGUAACACCGCAUGGAAAACUAUAUCCUGGAAAUAGAAGGAAUUAUCAGUUUAAUACUUUAUAUCAUUGCACUCUGUUUUCGCAUAAUAAAUAAAAGAGAAAAUACAUGAGCUGAUUUUAAACAGAAUGUAAUGAUACUACUAGUGAAAACAGUUCUAUCUCCCUCCGUUAAAAAUUAUGACCUGCAGAUUAGUUCUUAAUAAUGCAUUACGAUUCAUUUAUCGAAAGACAAUUCUGUAACAAACCGUUGAUUAAAAAAGGAGACUGUCAAAUGUAACCAUUCCAAGGGAUAUUCGUGUUAUCUAAAUAUUUCACUAAAUUUUCGGACAGAUAACCCCAAUUAUACUAUUUUCUCUGUUUAAUAUUAUACAAUAAUAUAUCCGAGACAAAUUGCACGAUGUAAUAUAUAGUGUAAAAUCAUAAUAAAAAACUAUACAACUUUCUAUCAUAUAUUAUAAAAUAUACUAUGUAUAAGACAGUAGAAUUGAACAAAAAAUUGUAGAAAAUACAGUAGAAUGCGUUAAUAUUAAAUUAUAAGUAUAUAAAAUUCAAAUAAGAUUUAACUAACCGAGAGCGUGUUGCUUAAAAUGUUACAGAUGGUUGCCAUUAUCGCGACUGGUGAGGCGCUUUUAUAUUACUCCCGACCGUCCAUCUCCAAGGGCCUCCAUGAACGUGCCUUUGGGACGACUCGAAACAGAAUGAUCGUUUCAUUCGAUUCCCGCUGAUGGAUCAUAUCCCCCACCACCCCGCAGUAACUCGAGCAUGCGCUGUUUGGUCCCACUCCCUCUUUUACAUAUAUCCACGAGGGUAGCAUCUUCGUUUACCUCUUCACAAUGUUAACAAUAACUUUGGAUUGAUAUUACCGUAAAAGGGAAAUUUCUUUGGCCUUUAUCUUACUUUUCUCCUUAUGAUCCCUUUUUCUCCUGUGAUUCCACUCUUCCUCAUUCUCUAUAUUCGUAUCUUUCCGAUCGUUCCACUUUGAAAAAAUCGAAUUGUGUUUAUCUUCUUUCCGAAAGGAAAAUUUUUGUUGGUAUUUAUACAUUCAUAUUUAUAUAUUUUUUGCGAAAAGCAUUCAAAAUAUUGUUAUUAAAAGAAAUGGUAAUCAAUCUCAUAGAAAAUCUCCAUACAAUAUUUAUAACUUACGACUUGUGCGAUGUGGAUCUGUUGAUCGAAUAACUAUGGCUAGAAAGAAAUAUAAUAGAUAUCUAUUGUGUUAUAAUAAAUAUUAUGAUAGUGUUACAUUCAAUGUUUGCUUGUUCACAAAAGAGUCGUAGAGACAAUACAUUCGGAAACUACAAAUGUUAUCUUACUAGAAAUAUAAUAAAAUUGUCGCCAUGCUCGGUUAUGCGUAAUAGAAAUAAACAAUUCUCAAAUAAAGAUUGAGUAAUAAAAUAUCUUCCAAGCAAUUGAUUGGUUUGGAACAUAAUAUACAAAAUAUUAGAUAACUGGAGGGAUUAUUGGAUCAUUGUUUUCACUUCUUCAACAGGGAGCUAAUAUCAAGGAAAAUGUACUCGUUCGAACGGAAUAAUUAAAUCAGUUUCGCGCCCAUAGCUAUGAAAAGAUGUAGCCGAGUGAUUAAAUGAUGUAUUUAAAUAGAUAA